rnacentral:rRNA from 1 species
AAAACUUUCAACAACGGAUCUCUUGGUUCUGGCAUCGAUGAAGAACGCAGCGAAAUGCGAUAAGUAAUGUGAAUUGCAGAAUUCCGUGAAUCAUCGAAUCUUUGAACGCACAUUGCGCCCUUUGGUAUUCCGAAGGGCAUGCCUGUCCGAGCGUCAUUGC